CGUUUCAAACACAAACACAAACACGUUCAUUAUUAUUUAAAGUUAACAAUUGCAUACAAAUUUUAUACUAUUUAAUCAUAAAUAAAGAACAAAAUUACAAAAUAUAAACAGUGAUGUAACGUAUAAUAACCCUAAAUAAUAAUAAUAAUUAUUAUUAUUAUUAUUAUUAUUAUUAUUAUUAUUAUUAUUAUUAUUAUUAUUAUUAUAUAAUUAAUUAAUUAAAUGAGUUUUUCAAAUCGAGCCAAGUUUGUAAACGAGUCUAAUCGAGUUUUGUUUUUGUUGUCGGAGUACAAAAUUUAUGACAAACUUAACUCUUUAGUUAAUCGAAUCCAGUCAAGCAUGGUUAAACGAGUCAGAUUCGAGACAGGUUUCGUGUAGCUCGCAUCCUUAACAGCUCUAGAUGGUAGGAUGGAAAGAUAGCAAUUGCUAUUUUCUCACCUUUGCAACCCUUUUUCUAAGUACCAAUUUAGAAAGUUCGAUACACCCCCCUCCCUCCGGGAGAGGAACUAGGGGACUCUUGGCGAAACUUACCUUUUUCAUGUAAAGCCUUGGUUAAUUCUGACUUCUUCAAUCUCUUGCUAAAGGGUAGACUCAAACCUGUGACACUACGACCUUGCACAAUAAAGGGAGAUGCCUCUACCACUAGGACCUUUGGUCUUUACCCUUUCUAAGUUGUAUUAACACCAACCUGUCAUGAACCCUUACCGAAACACGCCUCUUGCAAAGCAAACCCUUGCAGAUCGCACCUCUCCACUUCGUCAAUAAUACCAUCUGGGCCUCUGAAAGAUCAAGAUAUGCAAAAAUGUAAAUUGCUAUCAAAACUGAAGUGGUAUACUUGCAAUUAAAAAGAGUUCAGUUUACGCUAGUGUUUAAAAUUAAUCCUUAAAGAAUUCAAAUAUGUCAUACAACAGUAGCAUCCAAGUGAAAGUUCUUAAUAAAACACUAGAGAGUUGCAACUAAUAGUGAAAGUUCUUAAUAUCCAAGUAUAUUAUCAAACAAGUUCUGAGAGGAGAAUUGAGAUUUUACAGUUCAAGUAAAAUUACAAACCAUAGUGAUUGAAAUAAUGAAAUUUGAGAAAAUGAUACUAAAGAACAAAUAAGCUAUAAGAAUAUUUAUUUUCAUAGAAAAUUAGAAGCUUAGUUAAUGAAAAAAUAAAACAAAAAAAAUAAAAAUAAAAAAAGAUAAUCCAAGAAAAGGGGGGACUAAAGUCCACCCAUCCCAAACAAGUUUAAACCAUGACAGAAAAAGAGACUUAAAGGUGCAGCUCUUCCAAUCCCCACAUAUUAUAUACAAGAUCCCACACUUCCAUAGUAACUUGGAAUCCAUAUUUCUUCCAAAUUCUCGAAAUCAAAUUAACAAUAUAAACAUGUUUCACCAAUGAAAGGCACACUCACGCAUCCUAAAAUGUUGAAGGAUAGAGUUUUAUAUAAUUGUGAUGUUUGGUUAUAGAUAUUACUAAGAAGUAAGGAUUGAUCCUUAGGUUGGUAAAUCAUUGAAUCCAGAUUUGUGGAUUCGUCUAGGGGAGUCUUUUGUAUUUUUUUAAACAUAAAUUUGAAAAUAGUACAAAUAAUAUAUUAUAUACUAAUAAAUAAUUAAUAAUCCCUCCAUUUCGAAUGAUAAGAUCACUAUUGACUUUGUAAAAGUCUAUUUUAAACUUUUUCAAACUCAAAAUUGACAUAAAUCUCUUUAAUUUAUGGCACUACAAUUAUAAAUAUCUUAAAUUAUCUAAAAAGUACUACUAGGUAUAAGAUUUAUUGUUUUCAAAACUUAAAUGAAUCAUGCCAAUUUUAAUUUUGAAAAUGUCUCAGAUUGACUUUUAGAAAGUCAAUAUUGAUCUUAUAAUUUGGAACAGAAGGGGUAUAAUUUUUGAAAUUUUGAUAUACCAAUAGUCUACGAAAUUAGUAUAUAUUUCCUAAAUUCCAAGAUGGUAAUAGUUUAUAAUUUUUCUGAGUUAUUUGAUUUUUUAAUUUUUAUAAUAAAUUAACAGUUAUUUAGAAUUGAAAUUUUAUUGUAUGCAUAUAUAAUACUAGUCAUGCUACUUAUUGCUAAAGUUUGUUGAAUUACAAUUGUGAAAUAGAUAGAUACAAGGGAAUGGAUAUGAUUAUAAGGGUGGCUGAUGAGUAUGAAAUAUAUUAUGUUUUAUCCCUUAAUACUUAAUUUUUUGUAUUUAUUUUGUGCCUAAAUAUAUUCAUUGUUUUUAUAUUUUUAUUUUAGGUGCAAUUGAAGGGGUUCCGUGAUUUUGGAAAUAAAUUGAAGGAGGUUUAUGGGAUUCCUAGUAGAUCAAGGAUUCAACAAUUAGUAUCAUAAAUGGAUUUGGAUUCAGCUUAUUUUUCACGCGGCAAGGAGUUUAAGCACAUGGCAAUUGUGCGAUUUAAUUCCAAUUUCAAAUCUGAUUUUUGGAUUCUAAAAAUUUAGUUUUUACAAUUCUAUUUAAUUAGAAUUUCUUUUAGACUGAGAUUUAUUUUCAAAUUGGAUUCUAUUUCUUUAUGGAAACUAGUUAUGAUUUGUAAUUUAUUUUAGGAUUUGGAUUUCUAAUUAUCAUAAGAUUUAGAACUUUGUCUAGCACUAUAAAUAAAGGAUGAUAGUUAGAGUUUUAUUCAUUCAACUGUCAACUAUCAUCUAUUGGAGUGCAGACUCAAGAGCAUGUCAGACUAGUUCUUUUCAUUCAGUUCUAAAGGGAGGUGGAACCUUGUUACAAGUAAUUGAUUAAUUGAGUAUUAUUAUAUAUUCCUUCUUGUAUGAAAUUUCUUCUGGUAAUCUGUUUUCAUUGAUUGCAUGUUAAUUGAUUUAAUUAAUUUGAUAUGGCCAAUUAAGUUAAUUUAAUCAUUAUCAUUUGCUAGAUUAAGAUUGGUAUUACGUGUAAUUGAUAUUUGUCUUUAUUAUAAGUAGCAACUUGGUAAUACUAAUUGUGGACAAACUUUUGUGUAUUGCUAAGAUUAUCAGAAAACAAGUUAAACAAAUCGAGCUUAUGUGUUUGUUGCUUGGAUUAGCCUAAUUCUCUAUUUCUUAAUGCUUCUAUCAUAUUAAAUCUAGAGAGCUUAUCCUAGGUUGUAUGCUAGUUAGAAUCUGGUGGAGAGCUUGCUUCAUACAAUGAUAAUCUAAGGAUAAUUUUGGAUAGCAAAGCUUAUUGUUAUCUAAGGUUAAUAGUUUCAUUGAAGGAAAAAUAAUAAUAACUUGAUUAAUUGAUUGUUGUACUUGGUGAAAUUGAACUCCAGAACUGAAGUUUUUACAUAUUUGGUUAAUUUCAUCACUAAUUCUUGUUCUCUUAGUUUAAAAAUAGUUUUCAAAAACCCCCGUCUUUAUUUUCUCUUAAAAUAAUUGAAUAAAUAUAAAACAAAUUACUCUAUGUGGGAUCGAUCCUUGCUUACUACUGUGCUAAUUGUUUGAAUUUGUAAAGUGAAAGUGAGGUUAAUUUAGAAGUGUAAACGACAACUCCCAGUGGCAAAGAAUUAUGAUCCCUAUUCAAACACAUGGGAAACUACCAAGCACCACAAAAGAAUUAUGAGACUGUGCAAAAAGUCGAUGCCAUGGGAAACUACCAACACAAGGAAUGUUCCCGCCCAGAUAACAAGGGUUUCCACCGGCCCAACCUCAGUAUCAACCAAGACAAGCAGCUCCUGCAAAUAGCGGGCAGUCCAUGGAAGAGAUGUUUAAGGCAUUCAUGGGGCAAUCACAACAAUUCAUGGCUCAAACACAACAAUUCAUAAAUCAGACACAGCAGUUCCAGCAGGAGACAAAAGCUUCGAUUCAAGAUUUAAGGAACCAAGUGGGACAACUGGCUACAACUGUGGGGAUAUUGGAAUCCAGAGGCUCAGGAAAAUUACCAUCUCAAACAGUAGUCAACCCAAGGGAGAAUGCAAGUGCCAUAACUUUGCGGAAUGGAAUACAGUUGGAUACACCACCGACCCCCGUAGAGUUUAAGGAGGAAGCAGCUAAGGAGGAAACAAAAAAAUCCAAGGUAUAACCUAAACCUCCUAAUCAGCUUAAAAACAUUCCUCUUCCCUUUUCUCCAAGAAAUUCUAAAACCUCAAAGAAAGAUGAAAAAGAAAAAGAAAUUCUUGAAACUUUUAGGAAAGUAGAAGUGAACAUCCCUCUCCUUGAUGCAAUUAAACAAGUGCCACGGUGUGCAAAGUUUUUGAAAGAAUUAUGCACUAAUAAAAGAAAAUUGUAAAAUAAUGAAAAAGUCACAGUCGGGGAAAAUGUAUCUGUUGUUCUUCAAAGAAAAAUGACUCCUAAAUGUAAAGAUCCAGGAAUGUUUACAAUCCCGUGCAAAAUAGGAAACACCAGAUUUGAAAAAGCCAUGCUAGAUUUAGGAGCUUCAAUUAAUGUUAUGCCUUUAUCUAUUUAUGCUUCCUUAAAUAUAGGUCCUUUGAAAAAUACUGGUGUGAUUAUUCAAUUGGCUGAUCGUACUAACACUUACCCCUGAGGGGUAAUUAAGGAUGUCUUAGUGCAGGUGAAUGAACUAAUCUUUCCUGCAGAUUUUUACAUUGUGGACAUGGUGGAUGACAUAUCACCAAACCCUUCCCACAUCUUGUUAGGAAGACCAUUCCUAAAACAACAAGAACCAUGAUUGAUGUGCACAAUGGGACCUUGACAAUGGAAUUUGAUGAGGAAAAGAUUCAGUUUAAUAUUUAUGAAGCCAUGAGAUAUCCUAAUGAUGUGAAUCAUGUUUUUGAGAUUGAUGUGAUUGACUCCUUAGUGUAGGAAACUUUUGAACAUUUGCACGAGGACAACUUAAAGGUUGUUAUCACCAACAUUUUGGACAAGGACAUGGAAGACGAGAUAGAAUGGCAUCAGGAAUUGAAGGAAACUGUGGUUGCCUUACACUCGUUACCAAAAUAUGCAGAUAAGUAUCAGAUUUUGUUAGAUGACGGAACUAAGCUCACGAGGAAUGCACAAACAAGGUUGAAUCUACCGAUGAUGUAACCAUUGUUUGAUGCCGGUUGAGAAGAGAGGCAUGAUGUCAAGCUAAAAACAAUAAAGGGCAGCUACUUGGGAGGCAACCCAAGAACUCAGAUUUGAUNNNNNNNNNNNNNNNNNNNNNNNNNNNNNNNNNNNNNNNNNNNNNNNNNNNNNNNNNNNNNNNNNNNNNNNNNNNNNNNNNNNNNNNNNNNNNNNNNNNNAUUUAGGACUAAUAAUCCAAUUUUGAUGGGAAGUUGAAAAAAUUCUGAUUUUUUUUUUUUAAAACUUGGGUUCCAUGGUUUUAUUUGUCUGUGUUUAAAAGGUUAAAGUCAAAGAUUGAAAAUUGAUGCUAAAAUUCAGAAUCUGUUUGAUGUUUAAUUUGUCAAUAAAUGAUGAAGACUAAACCAUGAUCCAUAGUAAUUGAUUUGAAUUGAAAUUGUGAUACAUGAGUACUUGAAUAUGAGAAGCAUGUUUAUUUGGCCAAGUUAUUUGUGGAGUUGUCUAUGUGCACUGAUUUCAUGACUUAGAACUGUUUAACUUGCUUAUGUUGUUGCAGAACCAUGUGAAAAAAUGAUGAAUGAAAAAAAAAAGAGAAAAAAAUUGAUGAUUGAAAAAUUUGCUUCAAUGUCCAUUGUGCGAAAUAACCGGUGUUCUAAAAAUCCCGGCAUAGGUCCGCCUAGGCACUAGGCCCCCCCCUUGGCGCCUCGCCUAGGCGCUAGGCCCCCCUGACCCCUCACCUAGGCCCAAGGCGGCAAAAAAUUCCCUCCAGAAAAUUAGGUGGGGCCUUAGCGGAGAGAUUUUCUUAUUUUAAUAACUACACAAAUCAGAUUUUGAUAUAUUUAUUUUUCUAAUGAUUUACCAUAUUCAUAAUACAGGUUGUAGCAUAUCAAAUCAUAACAAGAAGUGAACAAUAUCAAGUCAAAAUGGAUAAUUUUAUUAUAGUUGUAAUUUUUUGAACUUACCAACUUCAAAUUAUAUAAAUGAUUCAAAUUAUAUAAAUGAUGAUACAUUUGUAAUAUUUAGUUUAAUUCAAUAUAAUUCUUAAAUAUAUGUUUAGUUUCUUAAGUUUUAAUAUUGAAUUAAAUUCUUGAAAUAGUUUUAUUGAAGGAAAAAUAAUAAUAACUUGAUUAACUGAUUGUUGUACUUGGUGAAACUGAACUGCAGAACUGAAGUUUUUACAUAUUUGGUUAACGUCAUCAUUAAUUCUUGUUCUCUUAGUUUAAAAAAAGUUUUCGAAAAACCCCGUCUUUAUUUUCUCUUAAAAUAAUAGAAUAAAUAUAAAACAAAUUACUCUAUGUGGGAUUGAUCCUUGCUUACUACUGUGAUAAUUGUUUGAAUUUAUAAAGUGAAAGUGAGACAACUCCCAGUGGCCCACCAUAUUACAUGUUUUUAAAAGAGUUACCCCUAUUCCACAUAACUAACAACAACAAAAUCGAUAUAAAUUUUCAAUAUAUAUCAUUUCCCAUAAUAUUAUCUACAUUAAAAAUCUAUUUCAUAUGUAAUUCCCAUUUUUUGAAAUUUGUUGAACCACCAAAUCCCUAUAUGACGAACACGAAUUCAUGCCUUUUAGGAUAUUAUGAACUUACUGUUUUAUUUACCAAAGUAGGAAUUUAUACUUAUUUAUUAUGUAUUGGAGAUAUAUAGUGGAGCAUGAAUUAAUAAUGAGUUAUGAUAUAAAUGUCUUUGCUAAUAAAAUCUUGUUUUUUAUCAAAUAAAAAUAAUACUCCCUUUGUUUUCAAAAAUAAAAAUAAGAUCAAGUUUGACUUUUGAAAGUUAUUAUGUGAUAUUUUUAAUUCAAAAUUGUUUUGACUCAUUAAACUUUAGAAAAAAAAAACUUAUAAUUAAUAGUACUUUUAAGAUAGUUUACAAUAUUUAUAAAUGUAUUGUCUAAAAUUAAACGAAUUAAUACCAAUUGAGUUUGAAAAUAUAUUGAAUUGACUUCAAAGGGUUUGAUCAAAUAUUUUGUAGGGAGGGAGCAAUAUAUAUAUAUAUAUAUAUAUAUAUAUAUAUAUAUACACUAUGUUAGAUGACUUCUUCAUAUAUUGAAGUGUAUUGGAAACCUUCAUAUAGUGUAUCGUAUCGUAAGAUACAAAAAAUUACAUAAAAGAAUAAUAAUUAAAUCUAUAAACAUUAACAAUACAAUAAAACUUAACCAAUAAUGUCUUAGCUUGAUGAUUAAGUCCGAGACCUUAAGACCAUUAGGUCCCAGGUCCAUUCUCACCCUUGUACAAGUUUAUUUCCUCCUUUCAAGUGAAGAUUAUUAUAUCCUCUUUUUUAUGUGAGGAUUGUUUCCACCUUUAUGUAGGAUAGCUUGAUUGAUUAUUGUAAUUGCUCACCCUUAGUGUGAAUUUACUGAUAUUGUAAUUAUGAUUGUGUACUUGAUGUUGAUUGUGAGAAUUUAUUGUACUUGUAAUGAUAUCCCCAAAAUGAGGUCUACAACUAAACAUAUAGUCAUAAAUAUCCCCAAAAUGAGGUCUACAAUUAAACAUAUAGUCGUACAAAAAAUAUCAAGUCAUUCUUAUAGUUGCACUUGUCAUUAUUGACUUGGUAUAUUUUUUCAUAUGCAUGUAAAAAAAUACAAAUUUAAUAAUGACACAAGUGUAAACUAUAAGUAUGACUUGGUAUUUAAUGAAAUCUACUAUUAAACAUAUAGUCAUACAAAUAUACCAAGUCAUACCUAUAGUUUACACUUGUGUCAUUAUUGACUUGGUAUUUUUUUCAUAUAUAUGUUUAAUUUAUGAGAAUAAAUCAUAUAAGGAUUGCAUGUAAAACUAUUGUCUUACACCAUCAAAUAGCAACAUGUCAGGUAAUUUAGGAGAAAAUCAGGAUAUUUGAAUUGUACCAACUGAUUGUAUAGGCAAAAUUGCUUAAUUAAUCAUCCUCAAUUUCAAAUUCCUUAAUUUUCCCCGUGUAAAAUAAUAGUUUUAUGGGUAGUUCUUAUAUAAUUUAUUCUCCUAAAUUAUGUCUAUUUAAGUUAUGAAUCGUUUUCUCAAUAUACAUAGAUAUAAAUUAUAAUUAUUUCUUUUAUAUAUAUAUAUAUUGUAUCUUUUGAUAAUAUUUAGGACAGAUAGGAAUUUCUAUACUAAAGAGUCACAAUACGAUAACUAAACCUCUUUGCUACAGCAACAAAAGGAAAAACACACUACAUGCUCGUGUUCCAUCUCAAAUUCAAGCAGAACUUGUGAUGUUAUAUACUACCAAUUAUUUUAAAGCUGUUGUACAUAUGUUAAUCUUGGAAGUAGCUCAAUUUAUCAACUUCAUACAAUACCUAUCCUUAAUCUCAGUUUGAUGGGAGCUACCCAACAUGACAAAAAUGUAACAAGGCUGGAAAUUUUUCAACAUCAACAUGCAACCGGACUAAUAUAUACUUCUAGCGAUUGCUAUUCAAUAAAAAAUGAAAGUACUAACCUUGAAGCAUUGCAUCCUUUCUUGAGUACAGAGCUCGUGUAAGCUUCACCAUAUCAAGAUGCUAUAGCAACAGCUCGUACAUAGAUAGAUAUACCUUUCAAAGCUUUAUACCAAGUCCAUGAACUCUAAACAUAAACAAAUCCAGAAUUGUUCAUUCCAAAUCGCAUGCAAUCCUUAACAGCACAAGCACUUAAUCUGAUGCUUCCCAAUUUUUACCCUGAAAAUUAUAGAACAAUGAAGUAUUAAAAUAUCAUUAAAUGGAUUCGAUGGCAAAACAUAAAUACACACACGGACACGAACACACGCGCGUGCACCCGCGCGAACACACACACAUACAUAUAUAUAGGGCAAUGAUCCAUAGCAUGUAUUUGCUAUGGAUCAAAAAUGGGCAAAUAACAUCUAUUGCGUACGUUCCAAAUAUCAACGGCUGGUAUUAGAAAUGGGAACACGGUGUCUGCUAGUAUUACUAGCGGACAUAGUGUUUGCCCAAAUUGAAUUGUUAUACCCCCAAGUCAACUAAGAGUCGAUACGUAAUAUGUCGGUUUUUAAACAAUUCGCUAAUAUUACUAGCGGGCGAGUAUUUUUAAAUACUAAUAAAAUAAUACUACUAUCACAUAAAAAAGAGUCAUGUAAUGCUCACAUACACACAUGCACUGUGGGCCCCACAUGUCAAACGGGGGCCCACAGUAUGCAUGUGUGUGUAUGUGAGCAUUAUGUGACCCUUUUUUAUAUGAUGGUAGCAUUGUUGAUACUAAUAUCAGUCUAAUAUCAGCAUGCUAAUCAGAAUAAGAAUUUGGUUUUAUUAACUAGGGUUUAAGAUUUAUUAACUAGGGUUUAGGGUUUAUAAACUCGUGUUUGAGUUUAUUAGCCAAAGUUUAAGGUUUAUAAACUCAUUUUUAACUGAGUUUAGGGUUUAUUAACCUUAUUAACCUACGGUUAAUAAACCCUAAACCUGAUUAACAAACCAUAAACUCUGGUUAAUAAACCAUAAACCCUACGAUAAAAUUGCAAUGAUGGAACUGAUAUGCGUUUCAGGUGAUAAACAAUCCGCUACUACUAGCGGACGUAGUAAUUUUUUGACGUGUUGCCUUCGUUGACUUGGGGGUAAAACAGUCCAAUUUGUGCAGUAACUACGUCUAAUUUCGGAUAUAUGUAUAUACACAACUGUGUAUUACACUUUCGGGCUAUGGCGACGAGUUUUUUGGGCUAUGGCAACGGUUCACCCGUCGCCGUAGUCCAGAAUAAUUAUGGCGACGGGUGAAACAGUCGCUAUAGCCCAAAAAACCGUCGCCAUAACUGAUUGUGUACUACACAGCUGUGUACAAACAUUUUUUCCAUAUAUAUGAAUAUAUGCAUUUUCAAACCUAUGUCAAUAUGAAAAUAACCAAAAUACUUCAGUGCUUUCAUCUCUUCAUCACAAAAAUUACGUUAGGACCCUUUUAAGUGUGAAGUCUCCCACCGGAGCUUAACGCAAUUACCAAACAUGAGCAGAUAUUAGGGGAGAAGAAGAGAUUAGAUUAGAUUUGGAUGAUAAAAGAAAGAUAUGGGGACUGAGAUUUAUAGAAGAAUAAGAGUAAGGGAGUGUCAAAGAGAACUCUCAAUUCAUUUUGCAACAUAUGCAAUGUUUCUACUAACUGAGCUCAUUACAUAGAUUCUCUGAUAAGAAAAAACAAAGGAAAAGACUCCUAUGCCCUCUAAAAACUCACAUGGAAAAUCUUGUCUUAAUUUUAGAAUUAUCCCCAAGUACUUAUUCCUUCUUUACCCCUUUCAUUCUCCGUUGUUCGUAACAUUAAGCCUCAAUAAAUUUUUAGGGAAUUCAUGAAUCAACCACCUCCCCUCUUUCCCAGUUGACCACUAACUAUUCCCUCCUCUGAUUUACUUAACAUUAAAGAUUAGUAAACUUAUCCUCCUAAUCAAUUUACAACUUAUAAGCAUUUUUCAACUCUCUUCAUGCUUGGAAUGAGGUACUUCCUCUUCUUGAUUUCACUAGAUCUCUUUUCCCACCAAUAAAUUUCAGAAUGGCUUGCAACCUUCUCCAAAAAUCAGGGCUAACAAGAAUGCAGAAUGAUUCGCUAUGCAGAACACGAAGUCAGGAACAGGUACGAGGGAUGCAAUUUAUAUUGGUACACAAUACUUGGGGUAGGUUCAGUGAGAUCUCUAAGUUGGAAUGCAUCAUACAGAAAGUGGAACAUUUUUUUUUUAAUUAUAUUAGAUUUUUUUAGUAAAUAAUUAUUUUUAAUUUUUUAAAUAUCAUGUUUUUAAUAUAAUUCUACAUCAUAAAAAAAGUUAUUUAAUUUUUCUCAUCCGGAUUCCAGGACUCUUUUAAUAAAGAAAAUAAAAAAACGGAAAGGAAAAAAGGAAAAAGAAGAUAAAGCUGGCACUACAAUCUUAGACUACUAGUCAAAGCAUCAAUGAUCAAACACAAAUCUCCGUACUUGCAGAAUAUCAAAAAUCCAUUUACUCUUUUCAAUCCUCUUCUCCCAAUAACGGAAGUCCAUUUGCCCUCCCUCUCUCUUCAACAUCAUCAUCUACCUCUCUCUUCGCAUCUCCUCCCUCCUUUUUCAACUAAGNNNNNNNNNNNNNNNNNNNNNNNNNNNNNNNNNNNNNNNNNNNNNNNNNNNNNNNNNNNNNNNNNNNNNNNNNNNNNNNNNNNNNNNNNNNNNNNNNNNNCUAAAUCAACGACAUUUAAUCAAAAUAGGACAUAUUCAAGAUAAAGAACUAAUGAAAAACAACGGAAAAAUAAACUACUCCCUCCGUUCCUAAAAGAUUGUCGUUUUAGGAAGUAAUUUUUGUUCCAAAAAGAUUGUCGUUUUGAGUUUAUCAAUACACAUUAGCUAUUUUUUUCCUACUUUACCCUUAUUUAAAGCUUUCUUCUAUUUAAAGUUUUCUUCCCUUCCCAAUGAUUCCUAUUCAAUUUAAUGCUAUACUCCAAGUAGUAAUUGGUUGAAUAAGAAGUAAUUGGUUGAAUUGAAUAAGAAACAUUGGGAGGGGAAUAAUUGGUUGAGACAAUUAAUAAGGGUAUUAUAGUAUUUUCGCUAGGUAUUAAUUAUAUUUCUUAAUCUGUGUGCAUUAACAUUAAACGACAAUCUUUUAGGAACAGAUUUAAACUCCACAUUUAAAUCUCUAGGAUCUCUCAAGUGUAUUAACUCUAUAAAUCAACACUAAACUCUAAAGAUGGAUAAAAUACCUCUAUGGUAGGAAUGAUAAUAAUCAACUUUAAUACCAAUAGUCUGUAAUCUAAAUGACUUGUGGGGAUUACAUCAUUAUUUAAAGAGACUCAAAACCCUAAUAUUACUUGGGAAAUAAUAAAAGUACAAAAUGAAUAAAAUACCCUUAUUAACAAUUCUUAUUCACUAAUUAAUGUCAUAAAUCCCCACUAAUAAAUAAAUUGCAUUAAUUACUCUUACAUUAAACAUAAUAAAAACUUCAAAUAAUAAAUAAAAAAAAUAUUUGUAAAAGUCUUGACUUGCAAUCCCUAUCAUUCUAAUUUUGAAACACCUUUGACAACAUCUUCACAUGAUAAGAUUCAAACAAUUUCGGGAAGAGAAUUGGUGAAGUAUCUCUUUUGUAUUCAAAGGUGUUGAAAAGUAAUUUUCUGAAAUAACUCAUCAUUAUCAACUUAAGAGUCAAAUCAACUUCUCGAAUUGUCCUCUCUUUGGUAACAAACAACUCAAAAGCAACUUCAAAGUUUUUCUCAGUUUGUUUGUUCUCUAAUUCGACUUUUGGAACUUCAAGAAUUUCUCAGUUUGUCUGUAGCCCCGAUAUUGUGAACAUCCUUUUUUUCUUUCUCUUUCUCUUUCUUGGCUCGAAUAUGUGCCAGCAAAUCAGUAAAGUCAUCUUUUAUAGAAGAGAUGUCAUAUCUUCUAUAGAAAAACAUAUAGAAACAAUUUUAUGUGUAGCCUUCUAAAGUUCUUUUGUUUUAGCUUGUUGACGUUUCUUUACUUCAGCCUUUCUUUGCUAAUCUAGAUACUGACGUACCAAUUUUUCAAGAUUGUCUUGUGCAUCAAUCAUAUCUCAUCUAAACUCUUCCUGCUUGGGUUUCAAAUAUCUGACCACAUGUAUUAAUAAAGUAGUAAAUUCGGUCACUUUAAUCGUCAAGAAACCAAAUAUACUCUUUUGCUUCGACAAUCAAUUCUUUAGUGGCUCGAGACAUUGCGCUAAAACUAUAAAAUAACUUUCCUCCAAAAAUGGUUUGUAGUUUUUUUUUCUUCUGAAUUUCCAGAAUUUUUUCCCAAGUAGAAAGAAAAAAAUUACAUAACAAGGGUCAAACUGGUAAUAAAUCAAAAGUUAGAACACGGGGUUUUUUUUUAAAUACCAAAAUACGUGAUGAAGGCUUAAUGGAAAGAUAAACCAAGGGUACGUGAACGUAAUUUUGGUACAAAUUUGCACCUGUUUGAAGUGGGGCUGUUUAUGAGGUAAAACAAAUAUAGAAACUAAGCCCCUCAUGGCUCAAUAGUAAAAAAACUACUCAUAAGGCUUGGGUGCAUGAGAUCUUGGGAUCCAUUCUUGCAUUUGGCAAAAAUGUUUAAAUUCAGUCAAAUAUAGCAAAAAAAAAACAAAUAUAGAACUGGGCCAUUUAAAAUGUGGGCUAAACUAGUAUUAUGUUUUGGGUCAGGUCUGAAGGUGGCAAGAGAGGCUUAAACUUAAAUUAGGGUUACCUCAUGCAACAACAAAAAUAGCAGCAAAACAGCCUUCUUCUCCUUUGUUUCCCCCCCCACCCCCGGAUGGCUUCCCAUUAUGAUGGGUCUGCAAACCACGAUGCAUAGUAGCGCGUAAACAGUAAUUCAUUGAACAGUGAUUUCACGAUGAACAGUAAUCCCAUGAUGAACAAUGACCGCCCGUGAACAGUGUUUCCGAUGUGAAAAUUGCUCCCACCAAAAAAAAAAAUCCUUUUUUGUUUGCUCUUUUUUUUUCAAAACCAAGAUCUCCCAAAAACUUAAAAAAUUAUGGAGAAACCUUAAGUUCUGAUACCACUUUCUCCUCCUGUUUUGUAUCACAUCAUAACCUUUCCUUUUUUAAAAAAUAACAUUGAACCAACAACAUCAGCGAACCCUAUCCUAUCAUGUACCCCGUUUCAGAAUGGCAUUCAAGUUUGUGGGACACAAGGUAUUAAAUCCCAAUAUCAUGCUGCUUACCAUGACAUCUCCUCUUUAGUUAAGAUUACCCUCAAUGGAAGCUGGGUUUCCAAGUAUCCCAAUACAUAGUUGCAAGAGGCCAACCAAGAGGACUGCCUUACGGACUUUUGAUGGGGUCAACAAGUCCAAAUAAGAAAUUACAUAUAAUUUAUGGAAAUGUUAUUAUGUUUAAUUUGGGAGAAAUCAGUGUUGUUAAAGGCGCGCCUAGGCACGUGCCUAGGCGGAGGCCCAGAGUGGGCUGGGUGCCUUGCCUCACCUGAGGCGCGGAUCCUUCAAUGAGGCGCACGCGAGGCGAACAAGGCAUGGGCUUCAUUGAAGUCAUGUAAUUUUUAGUUAAUUUUUUCUGAGCAAUCUACAUCAUCAAUUGCACUCCUCUUCUAGGUGGUAAGUCUCUCUUCUCCUUUUUGUUUGUCACUUCUCUUGCCCAAAAAAAAAGUUAAUUUGUAAGAUACUGAGGGGUUAUGCUGCCCAAUUUUUUCCAAAAAAAAUUAGGGUACUUUACUACACUACUAUUUCGGUGUUUACUAACUUAUUAAAUAAUUAAAUAUGUGUGUAUAACUUAUAAGUAUUUUUUAAUAUUUAAAUAUGCAUUUAUAUUGUUGUUUAGUGUUUACUUAAAUACAUAUAUGUAAGAUUGUAAGCAUUUAACUUUGUACUUAUAUAGAAUGUAAUUAUGAUAUAAUAAUAUCAGGGUAUCACUCUGCUACAGAGGUAUGGUCCUUGAACUAUUUGUAAAAUUACUUAAUAGUUGAUAAAUUUGUUACAUAGAUUAUUAAAUAUUAUAUAUAUCACGCCUAGCCUCGCGCCUAGGCCCGAAGGAAACCUUUGUGCCUCACUCUUUAAAUAACAAUGGGAUAAAUUAAUGUAUGUAAUUAUUUAUUUUAUUUAAUUAGUUAGGUUUCAGGACAUUAAAUAGUAAUUAGAAAUUUUUAAUAUUUAGGUGGGGUAUUUUAGUCAUUUAGUACUUUUAUUGUUCCCAAGUAUAUUAGGGUUUUAAGUCUCUUUAAAUACUGAUGUUAUCCCACAAGACUAUUGCUAAGAUAGAUUAUUGGAAUAUUAUUUUGAGACAUAAAUUUGAUUGCUACCAAUCCGACUCUUCUACAAUUGUGAUCCUAGGGGUAGUGGAGUGCUGAGCUCCACCCUAAUUAUACCUUUACUUUAUUUUUCCAUUAAAUUUCACAACUAUUCAACCCUAAAUUUGUCCUACAUGGGCCACAUCAACUUUUCACAUGUACCUAAUUGCCUAUUUUCAAUCCCCUAAGAAGGUCAACUUAUCUCUGUACACAUUUUACGGACAUGCGUCAUAUUUCUUAUGUGCAAAUAUUAUAAAUAAAAAGUAUUUAGUGUCGCGAACAUGUAUAAUACAUGUUAGACCCUUUGAAUGAUACGACUAACUAAAAAAAGUAUAAUUGUAAAAAGAACCAGUAGAAAUUGAGAAUACGGAAUACUUAUUAAAGACUAAAGCACAGGCCAGGGAUGCAACUAGAAAUUUCUUGAGGGGGGUCAGAUCAAAAUGAUUAACACUUUAAAGUUUCAUAGCAACAAGUGAAUAAAUACUAAAAGAAUAUAGAAAAAAGUAUAUGCCAUGGACAAUUUAAGAGAAUUAUUUUCUUUGUAUUUUAUAGUAGAAGAGCCUGAUAUUUAUUCCGACAUAAUUUAGUCAAAAAAAAAAAAGUUAUUGAUUUUCUUCAUAUGAAUUUGCCAGCUUAGGAUAAAAAGAAUACUUGACAACAGAGGACUUACGCAUAUAGAUAGAUAGGAGAGAGAGAGAACAGUUAUGUUAAGGAAGAUAAGAUACAAAGAGAGAAAGUUUAUGUUAAGGAGGAUAGAGACUAAAGAACAAUAGAUAUCAGAAAUUUGGCACAAUCACAACUUAGUUACACUUAUUUUUUGUGCGACCUGAAAUAUUGAUCUAAUUAUUUGAAGGGUCUUCUAUCAAUAAAGGAGUUCUACAAACUCUGUGUGUGUGUAUAUAUGUUUGUAAAUAUAUAUAUAUAAGGAAUUCUCCGAAUCUUACACAGGGAACAUGCCCCAUGCUGCCCCCUCCCUUCCUCUGUCCAUCAUUGUAGGCAUGGGAAAGAGUAAGCAUCAUAGCUACGCGUAUCUUACAUACAUAUAUGUUAACAUUUUCAUAUAUCUAGACUCAAUUAGAUUGAUCGCUUAUCACUUUCUAACAUGAUAAUUAUUAUUUAUUAUAAAUCUAAAUCACAGUUUUUAUUCUGAUACCAUGUGACAUUAGAUUUACUUGUUACAAACAGAAUAUACCUUUUUUUCUAUAUACUUGGUAAUAUAUAUUAAAACCCCUCUCAGAAAAGCCAUAUACAUCAAAUUGCAAAAGAAAUCUAAAAAAAAUCCAAAAGAAGAGCCCAAACCUCUAGAAUGCAAAAGCUGUACUACCCCUGGAGAUGUAAACAACUGCCCAAAAAAAACAAAAUUUGUAUUUCUCUUCAAGAAAGAGCUUCAUUUGGGUAAGUCUAUGGAAAGCAAUUGUAACAGAUGGGUACAGAAUCAUGUUUCUUUUCGGCCACCAACAGGACAAGCAUUUGAUUUUUGGGAGAGGUGUAGCAUGGAGGGAGGAGAUUCAGUGAGAGGUUCUCCCAAUCUUUUUCUUGUGGCUAUAGAUUCAGAGCCUAGGGUCGUGAACAACAUAUUGGUCUUCAGCGUGAGAUGGACAUGGUGUCCUAUAUUGGAACUUUCAAUAGUGGGACUUAGAGAAAUAUGGACAACUUUUUGCAUUUUUUACUACUGAUUGAUCCACCGGCUGGCCAGGAUGCCAUUUUGAAAUGGAAGGAGCUUUUUAGUCCCCAGUUUUCUGUUAGAUUCCACUUUGGUUCUCUUCGUAGUAAUGGAAAAAUAGAUUUUUCCAGCAUUUGGAAGGUUGGUGCUUUAGAAGGAAUGGUUUCUUUUCAUAGACAGCACAGUAGGGGCCAUUCUCAUUCAUGACAACCUUCAAAAGGGAGGUAGAUUAUGGUUACUUCACUUUGUAUGUGCCACAGUGCAGAAGAAACAAUUAACCACUUGCUUGUUCAUUGCAAGUUGGCUUGGCACAUUUGGAGUCUUGUUUACUCUGUCUGGCAUUGCUUUGGAGAUGCUAAGCUCGGUAAAGGAGCUGUUGGAGACUUAAAGUUGUGCACUUGGGCUAAAUACUAAGGUGGGAAAAGAAUGGAGACGGAGGGGGAUCUUAUUACGCAUUGUUUGUGAUGGACCAUUUGCAAGAAAGGGACAACUUGUGCUUCAAAGACAAGAAGAGAAAUGUUUUUUUUAUAGAAGAAAAAAGGAGAGACCAAUAAUAUAUAUCCACUUUUUGAACAUCAGACUCAUCAUUUUUAUCAUUCAUUUUUAGGGGAGGGGGGAGAUGAGGUGUAUCCAGGCUUUGAAACAAUGAAUGUUCUGAUGAAACAAUGAAAAAUAUACACAUGAGAGAGAGAGAGUUUUCAAUUUUAAAUAACUCCCCAACACCUUUGCCCAAAUGGCCAAAUGCUACAUAAAUUGUACUAAAAUAUCUUAAGGGAAACAUGACGUCUUAUUUCACGUAGAAUUACAAUCAAAUGUGGAUUAAUUAACCCGAGCAUUAAGUGAAGUUCAUAUAAAUUAUCAAAGAGAAGAAAUCAAAAUAUGGCAUUUGCACACCUAUAAGAUUAUGGGAAAGCAUUUUGCAAUUCUUUGUCUGGAAUUGAACAUCAACCUCGUUGUGGAUCUCUUUAUUCUGUACUAUCAAGAGCAAUAUCAGAAAACCAAUUAAACAGCAAUCAUUUGUAAAAAUCAAGAGACAUCAAAAUCAUGAUUGCUUCAGAAUUAGCCAAGUCAAUGUUCAAGUGGAAAGGAUUCUGUUCAUAAAAAGAAUAGAAAGCAUCAUGAAAGUAAGGUAAUUGUAGUUUAGGCAAGAUACAGUUGAACAAACCCAUAUGAGAGAGGGAGUAGAAUUGCCAAUCUACCACCCACAGUAAGGAUAUUCAUAUUUAAGCAACUCCAUAACCCUUAUCCCAAAUUCCACAAGAAAUAAACUGAAAAAUCUUAAGGGGAAGAAUGAUGUCUUAUAGAACAAAACAUUACAUAAACAAACGUAUUAUAACACUUGUUUGAAAUGGGAAUUGCAUAUACUAUUUACAAAUGGAGAUUGUGAACAAGCAACCACAUAUUUGAACAAUUAUAUCAAAUAUUAACAAAUGUUAAUAUGAUAUCAAGAGUAAAUGAGGUUGAGUGGAUGUUGUGCCGUGAAAUGAAGUACUCAAUGAAGAGUCAAGACUCCAAAGCCUUUCAGAGACAAAAACUUAUUAGCAAAAAGCUUAGGUGAACUUUAUAUGGAGUAAGUGAUCUCAAAUGAAACUUAAGUAAUAAAAGGAAAUUUAUAUAGUUUUAACAGUAAACUAACAAUGAAUUAAUCACUGUUUUAAACUCAUGGUUACCAGGGACGCUGAACGACAGCUUACAAAAUUCGAUACAAGGAACACUACCUAUGGUAGUAUGUACAAGGCAACAAAGUAUAGUUUUUAUUUUUUGUAUAAGUUUGUAUAAAUUUCAUACAUAAGAAAUCUGCUUUUAAUUCCCUAGGAAAACAAAGAAGGAAAGAAAACAUCAUAAAUUAAUAAAUGUGUGAUUAUCUUUGAGUCAUACUAUUUAUACUUAAUGCUCCCAAGUCUCUUGAAACAAAAUGAGGAAAUGACGUAUAGAAACAGAGAUAGGGAUAAAGAUAGAGGUAAUAUACUUGCAAGUUCAAUGCAACUCGGUUUGAAUCUUAUCCCAAGUUUUUCAAGCUCCAAAUGAAACAGAAACAGGACUUAAAAAUCCAAGUCUCAAGACAACCAUUAGUUUAAUACCGUGACCCAAGAAUAACCAUCACAAUUGGAAAAAAAAACUAAGAAAAGGUCAUGUAAGGAGAAAUGACUCACCAAAACCACAAGAAAAGGUUACCUGGCUUUAGCAGUGUUCUGAUCAGCAGACAUGUAACUCCCAAGUGUUCAUACAAAACCAAGUUUGACCCAGCUAAUCUCAGAGAAAGAGAA
rnacentral:lncRNA from 1 species